GCUGAUUCCAAGUAUAUAUAUAUAUAUAUAUAUAUAUAUAUAUAUAUAUAUAUAUAUAUAUAUAUCUGAAACCUGCCU